CGCACAUUGCGCCCCUUGGUAUUCCAUGGGGCAUGCCUGUUCGAGCGUCAUCUACACCCUCAAGCUCUGCUUGGUGUUGGGCGUCUGUCCCGCCUCUGCGCGUGGACUCGCCCCAAAUUCAUUGGCAGCGGUCUUUGCCUCCUCUCGCGCAGCACAUUGCGCUUCUCGAGGUGUCUGCGGGGCCCGCGUCCACGAAGCAUUACCAGUCUUUGACCUCGGAUCAGGUAGGGAUACCCGCUGAACUUAA
rnacentral:misc_RNA from 1 species